rnacentral:lncRNA from 1 species
GGCCGGCUGGUCGCGCGGCGGUUCGUCCGGGGCCCCAGUACCUGCUCGGCGCGCCCGCGCGGGGGUGGCCCUGACUCACCGGCCUCCCGGCCCCGCCCGGCGCCCCCGCCUCGGGCGCACAGCCUGGGAGCCCCUGGGGGCCGCACCCGCACUGUCUCGCCUGGGACCCGGCGCCCAGACUCACUGCGGAAAGGGGGUGUGAUACUGGCCGAGCUGGUGCCCAGGGCGGCCCCGGCAGGUACGCCCGGCCAGCAGAAGACCAGUGUCCUCUCGGCUCAGAACCUCAGGUUGGUCCCAGGCCAGGACGCAGCUGCCAGGUUGUGAUGGACCCCCCAGGCAUGUCCACACAUGCCACAUGUGGCUCCCUCUCACCACCACCCUGAUUACAUCAGAGGGGACUGGUGACACAGGGGAGGAAGGUGACAAGCACAAGCACCUGUGGCUCCCAAUUGCAGCAGGAGGUAUCGAGGUGUGACCAGAAGGGGAACUUCCUAUCACGAAAGAGAAAUCGAGUUCCCUGUAGCUGUGGGUGGGGGAGCCCUGGGGGGCCCUGUCUGGGAAGUCUGAUUUUAUGAUGAAAAUGCUGGGAAAAGGUAGAUAGCUGCCUAAAUGUGG